rnacentral:rRNA from 1 species
UGCCAGCCGCCGCGGUAACACGUAGGCACCAAGCGUUAUCCGGAAUUAUUGGGCGUAAAGCGCGUGUAGGCGGUUCGUUAAGUCUGGCGUGAAAGCCCGGGGCUCAACCCCGGAAGUGCGUUGGAUACUGGUAGUCUUGAGUAUGGGAGAGGAAAGUGGAAUUCCGAGUGUAGGAGUGAAAUCCGUAGAUAUUCGGAGGAACACCAGUGGCGAAGGCGGCUUUCUGGACUAAUACUGACGCUGAGAUGCGAAAGCGUGGGGAGCGAACAGGAUUAGAUA